GAAUUACACUUGACAGAGGCAGAGGAAAAUGCCUGCAGUCUGCAGCAUAGGAGGAAAAAAAGCGUUUCUUGUCUUCUAUUGUGCAGUGCCCAUGAAGUAUAGCAUCAAGAAACUAAUGCAAAACUGCAGAGAUCUUUCCGUGAGAUAAUUGAAUAUAAAAUCAUGAUUGCUUUUUACAAAUUUGGAUUCAUCCCAAAUCCAUUGUUCUUCAAAGGCAGGAAAAGUGAUCAGAGAAAAGGUGGACGGUAACAACACUUCACCUUGAGCUGUUAGAAUACCAGCAUUUAGCAUAACUGAUAUUUGUUGCAAUUAAGCCAUGCUACGUUGAGUGCAAAUGGGCAACUACAAUGAGGACCACUGGACUUCUGAAGUUCAAGUUCUAUUCUGUCUGAAGACAAUUUCCCUGCCAGAGGUCAAACUUUAGCACACACAUGCCAACACAGAAGUCAUAGUCCUGCAUUAUACAGUUAAGCUAAUGAUCUCGAGAGGAUAUCGUCCUGGAUAAGGGUGGAGCCUACGCCCAAAAACAAGAUUACCUGAAAGAGAAAAGAAAGGGGGAA
rnacentral:lncRNA from 10 species